UGCCUCAUACUGGGGGAUAGCCCGGCGAAAGCUGGGGUAAACCCGCACGGUCCAUUUUUAUCACCUGGUAAGACUGGUAAACAUUUAUGGGUAUGAGAGGGGCUUGCGUCUGAUUAGUUAGUUGGCAGGGUAACGGCCUACCAAGACGAUGAUCAGUAGGGGUUCUGAGAGGAUUGGCCCCCACAUGGGUACUGAGAUACGGACCCAACUCCUACGGGAGGCAGCAGUAGGGAAUAUUGGGCAAUGGAGGCAACUCUGACCCAGCCAUGCCGCGUGCAGGAUGAAGGCGCUCAGCGUUGUAAACUGCUUUUAUUGGUGAAGAACUGUA
rnacentral:rRNA from 1 species